GUUUUUCAUCUGCAAUUUUCUGGACGUGACCUUGGAUGGAGGCUCUCGAUGAUGACCUUUCAAACUCAGUCGUCUUCACAUGAUGUCUUUGCCUCUGCCAUAGAGAGACCAUCGUGAAGAGAGACCCCCCCAGUUACAUCCAGGGGAUCCAGUUCUCUUCCACGUUGUGGGUGUUUUUCCAGAGAGCUCCUCUGGGAUCUGCUGGGGAAACGAGGAGGGCAGGGACAGCAAAAAUGGAUCUUCUGUCUGAUGGGUGUGACUGGAGAGCCCGUCCCAUGGUGGAUGUUCCUGCUGGGAGAAGGGGAAGCAUCCAGCCUUCUGGAGGACAGACUGAUGACUCAAGAAGAGCCUGUUGAUGGGAAAAACAGGCAGGAGUGGAGAGGAAUCAAGAAGAUGAAGGCAGGUUUUGUUUUCUAA
rnacentral:lncRNA from 1 species